AGUGAACGCUGGCGGCAUGCCUAACACAUGCAAGUCGAACGACAGCACAGUACGUGCUUGCUCUUACGUGUGUCGCGUGGCGGACUGUUCCCUAUUGCAUCGGAUUCUACUUUUACAUGGCUGCUAACGUCGGAUAACUUCCAAUAUCACCACAUAUAUCGUACGGGUGUGAGCCCGCGUUCUUCGGGCCUUUUGUUAUUGUAUUAGCCUAGCUCGCCUUAGCUAGUUGGCUGGUUAAAGGGCCAACUAGGCGACGCUCCGAAUCUGGUCUGAGAGGAUGAUCCGACACACUGGAACUGAGACACGGUACAGACACCUACGGGAGGCAGCAGUCGGGAAUAUUAGGCAAUGGGCGAAAGGCUGAUACAGCAAAACCGCGUGAGUGAUGAAGGACUUCGGGUUGUAAAGCGCUGUUGUUGGGAAAGAAAAAAAGCAGGUUAAUACGGGAAUGUAAUGACGGUACCGAAAGAAUAAGCACCGGCUAACUUCGUG
rnacentral:rRNA from 1 species